UGCAAGUCGAACGCGUUGGCCCAAUUGAUUGAUGGUGCUUGCACCUGAUUGAUUUUGGUCGCCAACGAGUGGCGGACGGGUGAGUAACACGUAGGUAACCUGCCCAGAAGCGGGGGACAACAUUUGGAAACAGAUGCUAAUACCGCAUAACAGCGUUGUUCGCAUGAACAACGCUUAAAAGAUGGCUUCUCGCUAUCACUUCUGGAUGGACCUGCGGUGCAUUAGCUUGUUGGUGGGGUAACGGCCUACCAAGGCGAUGAUGCAUAGCCGAGUUGAGAGACUGAUCGGCCACAAUGGGACUGAGACACGGCCCAUACUCCUACGGGAGGCAGCAGUAGGGAAUCUUCCACAAUGGGCGCAAGCCUGAUGGAGCAACACCGCGUGAGUGAAGAAGGGUUUCGGCUCGUAAAGCUCUGUUGUUAAAGAAGAACACGUAUGAGAGUAACUGUUCAUACGUUGACGGUAUUUAACCAGAAAGUCACGGCUAACUACGUGCCAGCAGCCGCGGUAAUACGUAGGUGGCAAGCGUUAUCCGGAUUUAUUGGGCGUAAAGAGAGUGCAGGCGGUUUUCUAAGUCUGAUGUGAAAGCCUUCGGCUUAACCGGAGAAGUGCAUCGGAAACUGGAUAACUUGAGUGCAGAAGAGGGUAGUGGAACUCCAUGUGUAGCGGUGGAAUGCGUAGAUAUAUGGAAGAACACCAGUGGCGAAGGCGGCUACCUGGUCUGCAACUGACGCUGA
rnacentral:rRNA from 2 species